GCUCUGUGGUAAACCUCAUGUGUGUCAUCUGACCCUGUCUCAGCCCAGGUAGUGUUCAACACAUAUUUAUUGAGCAUCCACAGUAUGUCAGGCUUUAUUCUCGUAAUUAUAGGGGU
rnacentral:snoRNA from 1 species